rnacentral:rRNA from 1 species
GAUGAACGCUAGCGGCAGGCUUAACACAUGCAAGUCGAGGGGUAGAGGAAGCUUGCUUCCUUGAGACCGGCGCACGGGUGCGUAACGCGUAUGCAACCUACCUUUUACAGAGGGAUAGCCCGGAGAAAUUUGGAUUAAUACCUCAUGGUAUAUAUCAUUCGCAUGUUUGAUAUAUUAAAGUUCCAACGGUAAAAGAUGGGCAUGCGUCCUAUUAGCUAGAUGGUAAGGUAACGGCUUACCAUGGCAACGAUAGGUAGGGGUCCUGAGAGGGAGAUCCCCCACACUGGUACUGAGACACGGACCAGACUCCUACGGGAGGCAGCAGUGAGGAAUAUUGGACAAUGGGCGCAAGCCUGAUCCAGCCAUGCCGCGUGCAGGAAGAAGCAUCUAUGGUGUGUAAACUGCUUUUGUACGGGAAGAAACACUCCUUCGUGAAGGAGCUUGACGGUGCCGUAAGAAUAAGGAUCGGCUAACUCCGUGCCAGCAGCCGCCGUAAGAC